rnacentral:rRNA from 1 species
UACGUAGGGAGCAAGCGUUGUCCGGAAUCAUUGGGCGUAAAGCGCGCGUAGGCGGCCCUGUAAGUCCGCUGUGAAAGUCAAAGGCUCAACCUUUGAAAGCCGGUGGAUACUGCAGGGCUAGAGUCCGGAAGAGGCGAGUGGAAUUCCUGGUGUAGCGGUGGAAUGCGCAGAUAUCAGGAGGAACACCAAUGGCGAAGGCAGCUCGCUGGGACGUGACUGACGCUGAGACGCGAAAGCGUGGGGAGCAAACAGG